AUUGAACGCUGGCGGCAGGCCUAACACAUGCAAGUCGAGCGGCAGCGGGAAAGUAGCUUGCUACUUUUGCCGGCGAGCGGCGGACGGGUGAGUAAUGCCUGGGGAUCUGCCCAGUCGAGGGGGAUAACAGUUGGAAACGACUGCUAAUACCGCAUACGCCCUACGGGGGAAAGCAGGGGACCUUCGGGCCUUGCGCGAUUGGAUGAACCCAGGUGGGAUUAGCUAGUUGGUGAGGUAAUGGCUCACCAAGGCGACGAUCCCUAGCUGGUCUGAGAGGAUGAUCAGCCACACUGGAACUGAGACACGGUCCAGACUCCUACGGGAGGCAGCAGUGGGGAAUAUUGCACAAUGGGGGAAACCCUGAUGCAGCCAUGCCGCGUGUGUGAAGAAGGCCUUCGGGUUGUAAAGCACUUUCAGCGAGGAGGAAAGGUUGGUAGCGAAUAACUGCCAGCUGUGACGUUACUCGCAGAAGAAGCACCGGCUAACUCCGUGCCAGCCGCCGCCGUAACAC
rnacentral:rRNA from 1 species